GAUGAACGCUAGCGGCAGGCCUAACACAUGCAAGUCGAACGGUAACAGGAAGGAGCUUGCUCUUUUGCUGACGAGUGGCGCACGGGUGCGUAACGCGUAUACAAUCUGCCUUUUACAGGGGGAUAGCCUUUGGAAACGAAGAUUAAUACCCCAUGGUAUCCGGACACCGCAUGGUCGACCGGAUUAAAGCUUCGGCGGUAAAAGAUGAGUAUGCGUUCUAUUAGCUAGUAGGUGUGGUAACGGCACACCUAGGCAACGAUAGAUAGGGGCCCUGAGAGGGGGAUCCCCCACACUGGUACUGAGACACGGACCAGACUCCUACGGGAGGCAGCAGUGAGGAAUAUUGGACAAUGGUCGGAAGACUGAUCCAGCCAUGCCGCGUGCAGGAAGACGGCCCUAUGGGUUGUAAACUGCUUUUGUACGGGAAGAAACCCCCCUACGCGUAGGGGGCUGACGGUACCGUAAGAAUCAGCACCGGCUAACUCCGUGCCAGCCGCCGCCGUAACAC
rnacentral:rRNA from 1 species